rnacentral:tRNA from 1 species
UCAUUAAGAAGCUAAAUUAGCACUAACCUUUUAAGUUAGAGAUUGGCAGUUUAAACCUUCCCUUAAUGGC